ensembl:lncRNA
UGAAAACAGCCAUCUCAAGACUGUCAUUCACAUGAAUGAAGAUACAGUUUGUGUAUAACAUCUAAGCUAAUGAACUCCCAUCAAGCUUUAUGAGCCACAGCUCUCAAGCCAAGUGAGGUACCGGAAGUUUCUCAUCAGUUUCAUUCUACAACAAUGGUGGGAGAAGGGAGUGGGGAAAAGCUUUAAGAGAGGAGUUAACAGAAAGCUCCAGGCCAGUACACCCACAUCUUCUCCUUCUUAAGUGGAACAGCAGCCAUUGUUUGGACCGAAGGUCUGUCUAGAUUGCAGAUAGAGAAAGGAAUACCCCAACAUUCGGGCAGUACUUCUGUCUGAGAGACAUUUGCCAUAUUCUACAAAGGAAAGGGCAGCAAGCCAAAAAACAGCAGCCUGGAUUUGGCCUAUAAUUCACAUGGAUUACAGAUGGCGAGACAAUGCCUGUUCAGCUGAUGAGAAAUCUUAUCAGGCAAGAUUAACAUACAAGGUAAUUUUAAAUAGAAAGUGGGAAGAUUUCUUGGAAUUUUUCAGUCCUGUCUCCCACCAUGAAAGAAACUUGUGGCUUCGCAGGAUUGUAGAUGUCAGACAGAGACUUGAAUGAAACAAAAAACAUCCUUCUAUCAGUAAAUUUCCUCAUCUAAUAAAUGUUCGAAGUCCUACUGGGUUGAUGAAAGCCACACACAAAACACUAUUUCUACUGGACUUUCUUAUGCACAAGAGUAGCUGUCAAGAUAAUACUUCCCUUACAGCAUCCUUAUUAUCUAAAAGCUAUUUUCUGUUUGACUUCAACUAUU